rnacentral:lncRNA from 1 species
UGCUUGGGACCACCAAAAAAAAGCGUGGCUCUAUCCUGUGCCACCCUCCCCUCCAGAUACUGAUAGACAUUGAUGAGGUCCCCCUUCUCGAGGCUGAACAGGCCCAACUCCUCCAGCCUUUCCUCAUAAGAGAGAUGCUCCAGUCUCCUAAUUGUCCUCAUUGCCUUGUGAGGAAAUCCUGGGGGAUUCAUGAGUUGAGGAGAGGUUGCAUCCCCCAGAGACUUCCUGCAUUUUGCAGCCUGAGAAAGAAGAGGCUGAUGAAGAGAAGUUCGAUGAAGGAGGAGGAUGGCUCAUGGGACCCAGGUCCAAUCAAUUAUUUGGUGGAACUGAACCUUGGAGAAAGAGCUUUGAUUCAGAACUUCUACAAGAGGCCACACUUCGAGGUGAGAUUUCAAGGGCUCCAACUCAGGACCUCAUGUUUGUGUGCAGUUCAGUCAAGUAAGAAUAAAC